CCAAUAGCGUAUAUUAAAGUUGUUGCAGUUAAAAAGCUCGUAGUUGAAUUUCGGGAUCAAGUCGUCGGUCGUGCCUCGGUACGCACUGGUGACAUUGGUUUCUCCCUUCUGAAGAACCUUGAUGUCAUUAAUUUGGUGUCUUGGGGAAUCAGGACUGUUACUUUGAAAAAAUUAGAGUGUUUAAAGCAGGCUCACGCUUGAAUACAUUAGCAUGGAAUACUGAAAUAGGACAUUUGAUUCUAUUUUGUUGGUUUCUAGGAUCGACGUAAUGAUUAAUAGGGAUAGUUGGGGGCAUUAGUAUUCAAUUGUCAGAGGUGAAAUUCUUGGAUUUAUUGAAGACUAACUACUGCGAAAGCAUUUGCCAAGGAUGUUUUCAUUAAUCAAGAACGAAAGUUAGGGGAUCGAAGACGAUCAGAUACCGUCGUAGUCUUAACCAUAAACUAUGCCGACUAGGGAUCGGAUGAUGUUAAUUUUUUAAUGACUCAUUCGGCGCCUUACG
rnacentral:misc_RNA from 1 species